rnacentral:rRNA from 1 species
UACGGAGGGUGCUAGCGUUGGUCGGAAUCACUGGGCGUAAAGGGCGUGUAGGCGGUCUGUUAAGUCUGAUGUGAAAUCCCCGAGCUCAACUCGGGAACUGCGUCCGAUACUGGUGGGCUUGAAUCCGGGAGAGGGAUGCGGAAUUCCAGGUGUAGCGGUGAAAUGCGUAGAUAUCUGGAGGAACACCGGUGGCGAAGGCGGCAUCCUGGACCGGCAUUGACGCUGAGGCGCGAAAGCUAGGGGAGCAAACGGG